ACUGCCCUCUCCUGGAAGUCUACAGGUCAUGCAGAAUCGAAAUUACGGAAGAUCAUAUUUAAAAAAAAUACGUAAAAUAUAUAUUUCCUUCCAAACUGAGAAUUUCGUUCGGUAGAUAAAAUUAAUUUUGAUAUAAUAUUUAUAUAACCAUUAGAUAUUUACGUCACUGUCUCCCACAAUCCCUAGCGCCGGUGAAGUGACCUCUGUAGUGCACAAACCGGUAUUUGCAAACUGAAGCUAUGGCUCCUCCCGUCGCUGUAUCUCCACUGAUCAAGACCGCCAGGUAUUCAGCAUUAAUUGCUGGGAUCAUCUAUGGAAAAAGGAGAUAUGGUGA